rnacentral:pre_miRNA from 8 species
AGAGCUGCCAGAUGUGCUCUCCUGGCCCAUGAAAUCAAGCGUGGGUGAGACCUGGUGCAGAACAGGAAGGCGACCCAUACUUGGUUUCAGAGGCUGCGAGAAUACCUGCGAUUUAGAAGG